AGCAGCAGCCGCGGGAAAACGAAGGGGGCUAGCGUUGUUCGGAUUUACUGGGCGUAAAGCGCACGUAGGCGGAUCCUUAAGUCAGAGGUGAAAUCCCAAGGCUCAACCUUGGAACUGCCUUUGAUACUGGGGAUCUCGAGUUCGGGAGAGGUGAGUGGAACUGCGAGUGUAGAGGUGAAAUUCGUAGAUAUUCGCAAGAACACCAGUGGCGAAGGCGGCUCACUGGCCCGAUACUGACGCUGAGGUGCGAAAGCGUGGGGAGCAAACAGGAUUAGAGACCCCCGUAGUCCCUGUCUCUUAUAC
rnacentral:rRNA from 1 species